UACGUAGGGUGCAAGCGUUAAUCGGAAUUACUGGGCGUAAAGCGUGCGCAGGCGGUUCGGAAAGAAAGAUGUGAAAUCCCAGAGCUUAACUUUGGAACUGCAUUUUUAACUCCCGAGCUAGAGUAUGUCAGAGGGGGGUAGAAUUCCACGUGUAGCAGUGAAAUGCGUAGAGAUGUGGAGGAAUACCGAUGGCGAAGGCAGCCCCCUGGGAUAAUACUGACGCUCAUGCACGAAAGCGUGGGGAGCAAACAGG
rnacentral:misc_RNA from 1 species